CUGCCGGACCCCACUGCUAUCGGGAUAGGACUAAGACAUGCUAGUUGAGCGCUUCCAGCCAAUACGGGAGCGCAGCGCACAGCUCAGUAACACGUGGCUAAUCUGCCCUUGGGACCGGAACACCCCCGGGAAACUGGGGCUAAUUCUCGAUAGGUGAAGAACUCUGGAAUGAGUCUUUGCCAAAAAGACGUUUACGUUAUGCUCGUAGGCGUCGCCCAAGGAUGAGGCCGCGACCGAUCAGGUUGUUGGUGAGGUAAUGGCUCACCAAGCCUUUUACCGGUGCGGGCCGUGAGAGCGGGAGCCCGGAGAUGGGCACUGAGACAAGGGCCCAGGCCCUACGGGGCGCAGCAGUCGCGAAAACUUUGCAAUACACGAAAGUGUGACAGGGCUAUCCCGAGUGCCAUCCGCUGAGGAAGGCUUUUACCCAGUCUAGAACGCUGGGGGAAUAAGGAGAGGGCAAGUCUGGUGUCAGCCGUCGCGGUAAUACCAGCUCUCCGAGUGGUGUGGAUGUUUAUUGGGCCUAAAGCAUCCGUAGCUGGCUGAGUUAGUCCCUUGUUAAAUCCACCGAAUUAAUCGUUGGAUUGCGGGGGAUACUGCUCGGCUAGGGGACGAGAGAGGCAGACGGUAUUUCUGGGGUAGGGGUGAAAUCCUAUAAUCCCAGGAGGACCACCAGUGGCGAACGCUGUCUGCUAGAACGCGCCCGACGGUGAGGGAUGAAAGCUGGGGGAGCGAACCGGAUUAGAUACCCGGGUAGUCCCAGCUGUAAACGA
rnacentral:rRNA from 1 species